AUGAGGGGUGUUGGGGUGAUGGAUGGAAACUCUUUUAGGUGAAGAAGCCAUCUUUGAUGGGGUGACGCUUGAGCAGGACCCUGAAAGAGAGUGGAAACAAACCAUGACUCUAUGGUUUAUGUGGCAACUCCAGCAUAUAAAAUAACGAAGUCUGUUUAUCAGUCCUUGUUUCUACAGUUUCAAAUAGCAUUUGCGGAUGCUUAGCUCUGAGACAGGGGUGUUCUGUGUUUGGAGAGCCCCAAGCCACACCAAAAUACCUGAGGAACAGCCAGGCCCCAGGCCUUGAGGCAGCAGCCUGCUUGGUGGGCUUCCCACUAUAAAGACCUUGUCGCUGGACCAGAGAGGGAAGGAGCCGGGAACAGUGGGACCAGGUCACCAGGAAUUUCUCCCUCUGAUGGAAGAUACAGGAGCCUGGCGUUUGUGAGAGGAAGGGAGGAGCACAUACUUGAAACAGUUAAUGUGUGAUUCCCGAGCUGGAAGAGGUCAGACCGCCAUUUGAGAAGGAAUUGGUAAAAAAAAAAAAAAAAAAAAAAAAAAAAAA